rnacentral:rRNA from 1 species
AAUGAACGCCGGCGGCAGGCCUAACACAUGCAAGUCGAGCGAGCAUUUCGGUGCUAGCGGCGGACGGGUGAGUAACGCGUGGGAACGUGCCCUUUUCUGCGGAAUAGUCCUGGGAAACUGGGGGUAAUACCGCAUACGCCCUUUUGGGGAAAGAUUUAUCGGAGAAGGAUCGGCCCGCGUUGGAUUAGGUAGUUGGUGGGGUAAUGGCCCACCAAGCCGACGAUCCAUAGCUGGUUUGAGAGGAUGAUCAGCCACACUGGGACUGAGACACGGCCCAGACUCCUACGGGAGGCAGCAGUGGGGAAUCUUAGACAAUGGGGGCAACCCUGAUCUAGCCAUGCCGCGUGAGUGAUGAAGGCCUUAGGGUUGUAAAGCUCUUUCAGCUGGGAAGAUAAUGACGGUACCAGCAGAAGAAGCCCCGGCUAACUCCGUG